rnacentral:lncRNA from 1 species
AACUCUAGGAGCCCCUAUCCUACAACCCUGAUUCUAGACCUCCAGACUUUCCUAUCAAGGGUCAUGUCCUCGGAAACCUGCUUUCUAGCCAUGUCCUGCCUAAUCCCCUCUCCCCAAUACUUCUUAGGCCUCCCUCUGCCUCGCCGACCGCCAACAAUCUCCAGCCGCUCGCAGCUCCUCACUGGAGCAUCGGGACUUCUCC